rnacentral:tRNA from 1 species
CGGUACCACAACAGGGGUUGCGCUGAUCUUCGUUAACGGCGAGGGCGAGAAUGUCAUUGGUAUUGAUGCUGGUGCAAACUCGGCAGUAACACC